CCGGUUGAUCCUGCCAGAGGCUACCGCUCUAGGAGUCGGAUUAAGCCAUGCUAGCGGAGGGCAGUUCGGCUGCCCCGCGAAAAGCAUAGUAACACGUGGUCAAUCUGCCCUUGGGGUGGGGAUAACCCCGGGAAACUGGGGAUAAUACCCGAUAGGCGGGGAUUCUGGAAUGUUCCUCGCUCAAAUGCUCUGGCGCCCAAGGAUGAGGCUGCGGCCUAUUAGGUUGUUGGUGAGGUAAUGGCUCACCAAGCCACAGAUGGGUACGGGCCCUGAGAGGGGGAGCCCGGAGAUGGAGACUGAGACAAGGCUCCAGGCCCUACGGGGCGCAGCAGGUGCGGAAAUUCCGCAAUGUGUGUAAGCACGACGGAGCGACUCCUAGUGUCGAUGGUCAAACGACCGUCGACUUUUCUGAAACGUAAAAAGUUACAGGUAAAAAGGGCCGGGUAAGACUGGUGCCAGCCGCCGCGGUAACACCAGCGGCCCAAGUGGUAGCCGCUUUUAUUGGGCCUAAAGCGUCCGUAGCCGGAUUAGUAAGUCCCUUGUGAAAUCGGGCGGCUUAACCGCUCGGCUUGCUGGGGAAACUGUUAAUCUUGGGACUGGUAGGCGCUAAGGGUACUCCAGGGGUAGCGGUGGAAUGCUAUAAUCCCUGGGGGACCGCCAGUGGCGAAAGCGCUUAGCGAUGCCGGAUCCGACGGUGAGGGACGAAGGCCAGGGGAGCAAACCGGAUUAGAUACCCGGGUAGUCCUGGCUGUAAAGGAUGUGGGUUAGGUGCUUGGCGCUCCUCGAGAACGUCGAGUGCCGAGGGGAAGCCGUUAAACCCACCGCCUGGGAAGUACGGCCGCAAGGCUGAAACUUAAAGAAAUUGGCGGGGGAGCACCACAAGGGGUGGAGCCUGCGGUUUAAUUGGAUUCAACGCCGGACAUCUCACCGGGGGCGACGGCAGAGUGAAGGCCAAGCUGACGACUUUGCCGGACUCGCCGAGAGGUGGUGCAUGGCCGCCGUCAGCUCGUGCUGUGAAAUGUCCUGUCAAGUCAGGCAACGAGCGAGACCCUCACCUUUAGUUGCCAUCGGAUUCCAUUGGAAUGCCGGGCACUCUAAGGGGACCGCUGUCGAUAAGACAGAGGAGGGAGAGGGCGACGGUAGGUCCGUAUGCCCCGAAUCCCCCGGGCAACACGCGGGCUACAAUGCGCAGGACAGAGGGCUGCGACCCCGAAAGGGGAAGCCGAUCCCUAAACCUGUGCCUAGUUCGGAUCGAGGGCUGUAACCCGCCCUCGUGAAGCUGGAAUCCCUAGUAACCGCGUGUCACUAUCGCGCGGUGAAUACGUCCCUGCUCCUUGCACACACCGCCCGUCAAGCCAUCCGAGUGGGAUUUGGAUGAGGCCCAUUCUCUUUGAGUGGGUCAAAUCCGGGUUUCGCAAGGAGGGCUAAGUCGUAACAAGGUAACC
rnacentral:rRNA from 1 species